CAAAAUAAAUUAUUAUUUUAGAUUUUUGGCUUAAAAAUCUUACUUAUUCAUCUUUCAUGGAUUUACUGUGGGUAAAAUUCUUUUACUAAACUGCUGGAAAAAUCCCUUUUUAUCUUUUUUUUGCAUACCAAAGUGUAAUCUUUCUGAGAAAAGUGUCAUUACCCAAAUCUUCACUGAAACAGAUCAGAUCAACUUACAAAACUCCCGUGAUGAAGGCACAGAAAUAAAAGGUGUGCAAAUGUACUGAGCCACCAAGCAGUCUGCCUACCGGAGCUGGUCCUCGGCCCCUGACACACACAGCAGAGGAUUGUCUGGUCUCAGAGACAGGGGAAGGAAGAACAGGAUGAGGAACUGUGGGAGAGGGAACUGAGAGACAAGGCAGUGGCUGAGUUGUAAAACUUUAAAAAAAGAAAGAAAGUUCUAUAAAAUACCUGUAUCAAAACAGCUGUA